CACGUAGGCACCAAGCGUUGUCCGGAUUUAUUGGGCGUAAAGAGCUCGUAGGCGGUUCGGUAAGUCGGGUGUGAAAACUCUGGGCUCAACCCAGAGCCGCCACCCGAUACUGCUGUGACUUGAGUUCGGUAGGGGAGCGGGGAAUUCCUGGUGUAGCGGUGAAAUGCGCAGAUAUCAGGAGGAACACCAGUGGCGAAGGCGCCGCUCUGGGCCGAGACUGACGCUGAGGAGCGAAAGCGCGGGUAGCAAACAGG
rnacentral:rRNA from 1 species